UCUUCUCAGAUGCUGACCACUUCGAGAUCAGCUUCCCUGCUGACGCUACCGUCGGUGUUAAGGCUGCUAUCAUUGGAACUUGUUUCCUUAUAGUAAGUCAUAUCAACCUUAACGUCUGAUAGCUGGGGUGGGUGCGAGAACUCUUCUCAGAUGCUGACCACUUCGAGAUCAGCUUCCCUGCUGACGCUACCGUCGGUGUCAAGGCUGCUAUCAUUGGGACUUGUUUCCUUAUAGACUUCCUGCAUUACGAAAACUGAUCGGCGAAGCUGAAGAUGUUAUCUUUGAUGUCAUCUUAUUAUAAAACGCAUUUAAAAUAAGAUAAACCGCACUAUAUAGUGCAUUAAAAUAUUAUCUACGUACUGUUUACAAAAUAAACAAUUAUAACGAUAAUU